AUAACACUCGUUUUAUUGAUUCGGCAUUAAUUUCGUGCAUUCCAUGUAUACGUACUGCAUAGAAUCCUGUACGUAGCUCGUAAAAACUGUAACUUCACUCACAUCACAGCCACUUUAUUGUUAUUUUACAUGCACCGGAACCAUCAUGAAAUGAGGAAAAGAAACAGAUUUCGUGGCCAAAUCCAUUUGAUUUGGCCCAAAACUUCACAUGUUAGGGUUCAGCCUACUCAUGUUUGUUGUCUUGAAUUAUCAGAGACAGGUCUGACGUGUAGCAAAGAUGGAAAAUUUCCGCCCAUCGACGGAUUUCUCAGUGAAUGCAAAUUAUCAAAACUUCGUUUCCAACGCCACUUCUCAAACAACAAUGGGCGAUCAUAAUCGGCUUGUGAACGUCAAUGCAAGAUGUAAACUCACUGGAUCUGGAGCACACGUUCCAGCCUCUUUGAAUGGAAGUAAAAUGGAUAAGAUGACAGACAAUGAGGAAUCUGUGACCCAAAGACUAGAAGCUUCUCUGAGCCCAGAUUCAAAGCAAAAGAUAGAGAGCUUAUUGGUAAGUGAAAUAUACCUUUAGUUUGCUUACACUGUACUUGUCUAACACUUUGUUUACCUACCUGGAUUAGACCACCUCGAGUAUUAACUCACCUCGAGUAUUAACCUCCAUGGCAAAAA